GACGAACGCUGGCGGCGUGCUUAACACAUGCAAGUCGAACGGUGAACUCCGCUUGCGGGGGGAUCAGUGGCGAACGGGUGAGUAACACGUGGGCAACCUUCCCUCAGCUCUGGGAUAACUCCAAGAAAUUGGGGCUAAUACCGGAUAUGACUGCUGUCCGCAUCGUCUGGUGGUGGUAGGGUUUAUCGGCUGGGGAUUGGCCUGCGGCCUAUCAGCUUGUUCGUGGAGUAGUUGCAUACCAAGGGGCAGACCGGUAGCCGGCAUGGGAGGGUGCCCGGCCACAAUGGGACUGAGACAGGGCCCAGAAUCCUACGGGAGGCAGCAGUGGGGAGUAUUGCGGAAUGGGGGAAAGCCAGACGCAGCGACGCCGCGUGGGGGAUGACGGGCUACGAGUUGUGAACCACUGUCAGCAGGGACGAAGCGAAAGUGACGGUACCUGAAGAAGAAGCAACGGCCAACUACGUG
rnacentral:rRNA from 1 species